rnacentral:rRNA from 1 species
GACGAACGCUGGCGGCGUGCUUAACACAUGCAAGUCGAACGAUGAAGCCGGAGCUUGCUCUGGUGAAUUAGUGGCGAACGGGUGAGUAACACGUGAGUAACCUGCCCUUGACUCUGGGAUAACUGCGGGAAACUGUAGCUAAUACCGGAUACGACCCUCGGAGGCAUCUCCUGGGGGUGGAAAGAAUUUCGGUCAAGGAUGGACUCGCGGCCUAUCAGCUAGUUGGGGAGGUGAAGGCUCACCAAGGCGACGACGGGUAGCAGGCCUGAGAGGGUGACCGGCCAAACUGGGACUGAGUCACGGCCCAGACUCCUACGGGAGGCAGCAGUGGGGAAUAUUGCACAAUGGGCGCAAGCCUGAUGCAGCAACGCCGCGUGAGGGAUGACGGCCUUCGGGUUGUAAACCUCUUUUAGCAGGGAAGAAGCGAAAGUGACGGUACCUGCAGAAAAAGCACCGGCUAACUACGUGCCAGCCGCCGCCGUAA